ACACCACGUAUGAAUCAGAAUCCGUAGCUAGUUGUGACACGUGAGCCUCUGGAUGAAAAGAGUAUCCCUAAAGCAGCGUGGUCGUAUCAGCCCCCCAUGUUGGACUAAACUCUACACAAGUGAAAACCCCAAAUCCCUAAAGAUCCUCUAUUUGCCAAACUAGAGGGACAUGAAGUCUGACUCCUUCCUCAACAUGUGGACCUGCCCUGAGGAUGUUGGACACCACUGUUACACCUUCAGCCUUGUUGAUUUCCUGUCAGACUGGUCGUCUUUGAACUCAACAGGAACACAAUGUUCAACAGACUCUCUCCUCACCAGUGGGACUGACUACUCUGGUUGUGAGGUCACAGGAAAUAGAGUGAUCUGUUAGGAGGGAUGCAGCAUUGUUCUUCUGAUUUAGAUGAUGGUUAUAAGGAGAGUUCAGGUCGUAACCAGUCCACUGAGAUGAAUGUAGAUGUCGACACCCUGGCCAAUAUAAAAGGCUUUGGAGAGGGACCACGCUUUCAGGAGAAGGAUAACUGACAUUUACUCCUGAGGUGUCUGACUUGUUGCACCCUCGACAACCACUGUGAUUAUUAUUAUUGGACCCUGCUGGUCAUUUAUUAACAUUUGAACAUCUUGGCCAUGUUCUGUUAUAAUCUCCACCCGGCACAGCCAGAAGAGGACUGGCCACCCCUCAUAGCCUGGUUCCUCUCUACCCGGCACAGCCAGAAGAGGACUGGCCACCCCUCAUAGCCUGGUUCCUCUCUACCCGGCACAGCCAGAAGAGGACUGGCCACCCCUCAUAGCCUGGUUCCUCUCUACCUGGCACAGCCAGAAGAGGACUGGCCACCCCACAUAGCCUGGUUCCUCUCUAGGUUUCUUCCUAGGUUCUGGCCUUUCUAGGGAGUUUUUCCUAGCCACCGUGCUUCUACACCUGCAUUGCUUGCUGUUUGGGGGUUUUAGUCUGGGUUUCUGUACAGCAUUUUGAGAGAUAUCAGCUGAUGUAAAUAGGGCUUUAUAAAUACAUUUGAUUUGAUAACAAGGCCUUGUCCAGAAACAACCCCCAGCUCAAACCUCCAAGGCAGGAGGUAAGGGCUUCAUUAAAUGUCCUGUACACAUCACGUUUUGAAAAUACAAUUGUCAUUAAAAAAUAAAAUCCGCAUUUACACUGUUUGGUAUUUUUGUGGUGGAGUUUUUUUUGUGCAUCUUAAGAGUGGAAACCCUAUGUGAUUGGCUCUUUAAACAUUUCAUCUAGCCUAUCAGUGGGUAUGUUUUGUCACUCUGCUUUGUUACACCACGAUCGUUUGAGUUUUAUGUUAAUUCUAGUCUGGCAACAGGUUCUCCGGUUUAAAUCAAAUGAGAUCUCCUAGGGCCAGUUUCUCAGACGUAGAUAAAUCCUAAAAAAUGAUGUUCAAUGGAGAUUCCCCGUUGUGAAGUGUGUUUUACAGGCCUGCUACACUGGACAGUCAUUAGUGCAGGGCAUUAGAGGCUCUUGUUUAUGAUCAAUGAAACCCAGCCAUGGUGUGUGUAGGUCCCUCAGGGUUGGGCU
rnacentral:lncRNA from 13 species